GUUUUAAUAAUUUAAUAAAAAUACUGGUCUUGUAAAUCAGAAUUAAGAAAUUUCUUUUAAAACU
rnacentral:tRNA from 1 species